rnacentral:rRNA from 1 species
CCUACGGGACGCAGCAGUGGGGGAUAUUGCACAAUGGGGGGAACCCUGAUGCAGCGACGCCGCGUGAAGGAAGAAGUAUCUCGGUAUGUAAACUUCUAUCAGCAGGGAAGAAAAUGACGGUACCUGACUAAGAAGCCCCGGCUAACUACGUGCCAGCAGCCGCGGUAAUACGUAGGGAGCGAGCGUUGUCCGGAUUUACUGGGUGUAAAGGGUGCGCAGGCGGCUCUGCAAGUCAGGCGUGAAAGCUAGGAGCUCAACCCCUAAAUUGCGCUUGAAACUGUGGAGCUUGAGUGAAGUAGAGGCAG